rnacentral:rRNA from 1 species
AUGGAUGACAAUCACUGCCCCUUCCUUAGUUGGAAUGUGCGAGGGCUCGACAUGCCGGCCAAGCGUGAUGCUGUGUGCGAAACUGCUGCAGCGCACCGGCCGGCGAUCCUCUACCUUCAGGAAACUAAAAUCGACGUGUGGUCGCCGGCCCUAGUCAAGGAUGUAGGAGGUAGCCGGCUCACCGAAUGUGUAGUUCUACCUGCGAUAGGGUCUAGCGGAGGGGUGGCAAUCCUGUGGGAUAAUCAGGUCGCCUCGAUCGUUUCCCACGCCAUUGGAGAGUUUGCCAUCACAGUUAAGGUCACCGUCCUCCGCUCGGCCUCCACGUUCUGGUUAACCACA